AUUGAACGCUGGCGGCAGGCCUAACACAUGCAAGUCGAACGAGUGGCGGACGGGUGAGUAAUGUCUGGGAAACUGCCUGAUGGAGGGGGAUAACUACUGGAAACGGUAGCUAAUACCGCAUACUAUCAGAUGAGCCUAGGUCGGAUUAGCUAGUUGGUGGGGUAAAGGCCUACCAAGGCGACGAUCGGUAACUGGUCUGAGAGGAUGAUCGGUAACACUGGAACUGAGACAGGGUCCAGACUCCUGGGGGAGGCAGCAGUGGGGAAUAUGGGACAAGGGGCGAAAGCCUGAUCCAGCCAGGCCGCGUGUGGGAAGAAGGUCUUGGGAUUGUAAAGCACUUUAAGUUGGGAGGCGUUACCAACAGAAUAAGCACCGGCUAACUCCGUGCCAGCAGCCGCGGUAAUAC
rnacentral:rRNA from 1 species